CUUGUGCCCUGAAGCCCAAGAGCUGGAUUCUUUCUGCUUCUGCUGUAUGUGACAACUCUGAUGCCAGCUCCAAUGCACCAAGACAAGACCAUGUGAGCUCACAGAGAAAUGGUGGCCAUCUGCUAACCUAAAAGAGGACUCUCACCAAGAACUGAAUCUGCUGGCACCCUGACCUUGGUAUUUCCAUCUCUUGGAAUUGUGAAAAAUACAUGUCUGUUGUUGAAGGCCCCUAGUGUUUUGCUACAGCGGCCCGAGAAGACUAAGAUAUCCAGAACUGAGUCAGUUGAACGUGAUGCCUCUGGAAUGCCAGCUGGCUAUGAGCGUGUGAAGAAGCCUGUGUGGUCACUGACACUGAGCAGCACCCACAGUUCUACGGUAGGACCAUCCCAACACCACCUCCUGGGUGCUGCGUGA
rnacentral:lncRNA from 1 species